rnacentral:rRNA from 1 species
GGGGGGGGGGGGGGGGGGGGGGGGCGGGGGGGGGGCGGGCGGGGGGGCCCUGGGGGUGUGGGGUGCUCGGGUGGCGGGCGGGUGGGUCACACGUGGGUAACCUGCCCUUGCCUUUGGGAUAACUUCAGGAAACUGGGGCUAAUCCCGGAUAGGAGCUCCUGCUGCAUGGUGGGGGUUGGACAGUUUCGGCGGUUGGGGAUGGACUCGCGGCUUAUCAGCUUGUUGGUGGGGUAGUGGCUUACCAAGGCUUUGACGGGUAGCCGGCCUGAGAGGGUGUCCGGCCACAUUGGGACUGAGAUACGGCCCAGACUCCUACGGGAGGCAGCAGUGGGGAAUAUUGCACAAUGGGCGGAAGCCUGAUGCAGCAACGCCGCGUGCGGGAUGACGGCCUUCGGGUUGUAAACCGCUUUCGCCUGUGACGAAGCGUGAGUGACGGUAAUGGGUAAAGAAGCACCGGCUAACUACGUG